GACGAACCGUACAAACGUUAUUCGGAAUCACUGGGCUUAAAGGGUGCGUAGGCGGCGGCGCAAGUUGGGUGUGAAAUCCCGUCGCUCAACCGAGGAACUGCGCUCAAACUGCGUUGCUUGAGGGAGAUAGAGGUGAGUGGAACUUAGGGUGGAGCGGUGAAAUGCGUUGAUAUCCUAAGGAACACCAGUGGCGAAAGCGACUCACUGGGUCUCUUCUGACGCUGAGGCACGAAAGCUAGGUAGCGAACGGG
rnacentral:rRNA from 1 species